rnacentral:hammerhead_ribozyme from 1 species
GCACUACUGAGGAGUCCCACAAUAGGACGAAACGGCCGUUCAGUAC